UACGAGGGGGGGCAAGCGUUGUUCGGAAUUAUUGGGCGUAAAGGGCGCGUAGGCGGUUUGACAAGUCUGAUGUGAAAUCUAUGGGCUCAACCCAUAGCCUGCAUUAGAAACUGUCGGGCUUGAGUAUGGGAGAGGUGAGUGGAAUUUCCGGUGUAGCGGUGAAAUGUGUAGAUAUCGGAAGGAACACCUGUGGCGAAAAGCGGCUCACUGGACCAUAACUGACGCUGAGGCGCGAAAGCUAGGGGAGCAAACAGG
rnacentral:rRNA from 1 species